rnacentral:rRNA from 1 species
UACGGGAGGCAGCAGUUAGGAAUAUUCGUCAAUGGGGGAAACCCUGAACGAGCAAUGCCGCGUGAGUGAUGAAGGCCCUCUGGGUUGUAAAACUCUGUUGUAUGGGAAGAACGGCCCUAUUAGGAAAUGAAUAGAGAGUGACGGUACCAUACUAGAAAGCUCCGGCUAACUACGUGCCAGCAGCCGCGGUAAU